rnacentral:rRNA from 1 species
CACCGCGGUUAUACGAGAGGCCCAAGUUGAUAACCGCCGGCGUAAAAGGUGGAACUACAAAGAAGAACAAUAAAGCCGAAUGCCCUCAAGACUGUUAUAAGUUUUCGAGGGUAAGAAGACUACCAACGAAAGUGGCUUUAAAAAUGUAUAAUCCACGAAAGCUAGGGAA